CCCAAUCCCUCACGCACUCUGCCCGCCCAAACCCGCAGGAAAAGGCAUUAUUCCGGCCUUUCAUGACACUGGUCCCCUCCCCUCGAUGGUCCCCUCCUUCCACGUCACUUAUAUCCCAACAAAUCUCAUCAUUACCAUGUGUUUUCUCUUCAUCUUCUUUUUAGAGUUUAUCUUUUUUUUCUGUAAGAACGGAAAAAUAGGAGGCGUAGGAUCGAGUUACACUUGAUCUACUCCCUCCAUCUGUCCUUUAUUGCUAUCAAAAGGGAUAAAAUUCAAAUUCCUUGGGGUUUGUCGGAUUUUUGGGAGAAAAUCUUCGAAUUUCUUAGAGGAGAAGCAAGAGGAAGCUUCUAGGAUUCUUAUAAAUAGGGGAGUCGAUCUAAGAGAUAAGGGAGAGAAAAAUCAGAAAAAUCGAAAAAAAAGGAGUUCUAGGGUUCUUUUCAGUUUUUGAGUUUUUUUAUGUUUGGUUUGCUUUUCCAGAAAAACAAAAUACAAAAAAUAGCUUGAGUUCAGAUUUUGUUCGAAUUUUGUUUCCAUUUCGAAAAAUCAGAAAAUUCUCCAAAGAUACUUCAGUUUCUUCUUUUGAUUUUGGUUUCGAGAUGGGAUUUGAUUGAGGUUGUUUCGAGUUCAUCGGCGCCGUCCGAGUUGUUGCUACCGAUCUGUGGUUCCUGCCCUAUUUCAUCGCUAUUUUUCUCGCUUGGAUUUGAAGCGUGUACUCUCGGAUUUCUCACAUAUUAAAGCAGGUAUGGAUCAAUUUGCUAGAGCUUGAGCAUGAUAAAUACCUCAGGACCAUUCUAGUUAAGACCAUUGCAUGCACGAACUGCUUGAGGAAACUUUUUAUUUUUUAGUCUAUUUUAUGUUGUCUUUUAAUUAUUAGUCGUGUACAAUAGUAUCGAGUCUGUUAGUCUAGUUAAGAUUUUCGAGUCUUUUGUUAUAGUACUUCCUGUUUUGUAUUUGAAAAAAAAAGUUAAAAUUCAAAAAUUCAAAAAGA